CCAAGACAGUUUUAUAGUUAUGUGACGAUGACAGUACAUCCGCCAUUCCGAACUACAACGAUGAGAUAUUGCGUCUGUAAACUAGUGUGACAAUGGAGGAUUUGGUUGUUGAAUUACUUUUAAUAAAAUAUAUUGAAAACCUUAAAUUAAAAUAUAAAUUAACUAAAUUAAAAUAGAUGAUGUGACAUGUGACAUGUAUUGAUAUGUUGUAUGCCACAUCAGUUGGUAUAAAUAAAUUGGUAUAUAAG
rnacentral:lncRNA from 1 species